GAGGAAAGUCCGGGCUCCAUAGAGCAGGGUGCCAGGUAACGCCUGGGGGGCGCAAGCCCACGACAAGUGCAGCAGAGAGAAGACCGCCGAUGACCCGUAAGGGCACAGGUAAGGGUGAAAGGGUGCGGUAAGAGCGCACCGUGCGGCUGGCAACAGUCCGUAGCAGGGUAAACUCCACCCGGAGCAAGACCAAAUAGGCUUCCACA
rnacentral:misc_RNA from 6 species